UACAUGUGGGGCAAGCGUUGUUCGGAAUUACUAAACAUAAAAAAUGCGUAAAUAAUCUGUUAAGUCAGUGGUAAAAUCCCGCGGCCCAACCGUGGAACUGCCAUCGAUACUGGCGGACUUGAGUGCGUGAAGGGUUACCGGAACGAGCAGUGUAGCGGUGAAAUGCGUAGAUAUUGCUCGGAAGGCCAGAGGCGAAGGCAGGUAACUGGCACGCAACUGACACUGAGGCACGAAAGCGUGGGGAGCAAACAGG
rnacentral:rRNA from 1 species